GACGAACGCUGGCGGCGCGCUUAACACAUGCAAGUCGAACGGAAAGGCCCUGCUUUUGUGGGGUGCUCGAGUGGCGAACGGGUGAGUAACACGUGAGUAACCUGCCCUUGACUUUGGGAUAACUUCAGGAAACUGGGGCUAAUACCGGAUAGGAGCUCCUGCUGCAUAGUGGGGGUUGGAAAGUUUCGGCGGUUGGGGAUGGACUCGCGGCUUAUCAGCUUGUUGGUGGGGUAGUGGCUUACCAAGGCUUUGACGGGUAGCCGGCCUGAGAGGGUGACCGGCCACAUUGGGACUGAGAUACGGCCCAGACUCCUACGGGAGGCAGCAGUGGGGAAUAUUGCACAAUGGGCGGAAGCCUGAUGCAGCAACGCCGCGUGCGGGAUGACGGCCUUCGGGUUGUAAACCGCUUUCGCCUGUGACGAAGCGUGAGUGACGGUAAUGGGUAAAGAAGCACCGGCUAACUACGUG
rnacentral:rRNA from 1 species